CUAUUUUCAUUGACGCUGAAGCCGACGCCAAAAACUGCGGCAACCAAACGAACAUGACCAUAAGCGACGUCUCUAAAUUAGGGUACAUAAGAGACGUCUCUUGUAAGCCACGUGUUAGGGUGAUAUCAGUUUUGUAGCUUCUUCAAUGGCGUCUUCUUCAACUAGUCUCAUCUCCUCCUCCUCCUCCUCCUCCUCCACUAGGAUUCUUCUCCCAGCCAAGUCUUCGCUUCCAUCUCUCUCCCUCUCUUUCCUUCCAGCUCUCUCCUCUCCUUCCGCACUCGCUUCUCUCCGGUUUGCUCGACCCUCUUCCCUCACCUCAAUCUGCUCCACUUCUCGCCGGAGCUUCGCCAGACCGAGCAUCAUGUCAAGACAUGCGAUGGUUUAGUUUCAGUUGUAGUCUAUGGAGACCAAGAGAAGCCAGCAUUGAUCACUUACCCAGAUGUAGCAUUAAAUUACUUGUCUUGCUUCCAAGGACUGUUUCUCUGCCCUGAAGCAGUGUCUUUGCUCCUCCAUAACUUCUGUCACGGAGUGGAGGAAGUCUUGUAGUUUUCUGUCUUGUUGUCUUGUAGCAUUGGGAGUAAGCUAGUAGUUUUCUGUCGUGGAGGAAAUCUUGUAGUUCUCGGUCAUGUUUGAUCACACACAUAUUCUCUCAUUUUCAACCAACCAAGAUCAUCUUGUGUAGAUAUGUUUUUCAUAAAAUGUUUAAUUUUUUUUAAGAACUCUUAAUUAAGAGACUUGCAUUGGAGAUGGUAAAUAUUAAAAUCUCUUAGCUA